UACGUAGGGUGCGAGCGUUGUCCGGAAUUAUUGGGCGUAAAGAGCUCGUAGGCGGCCUGUCGCGUCGGAUGUGAAAGCCCGGGGCUUAACCCCGGGUCUGCAUUCGAUACGGGCAGGCUAGAGUUCGGUAGGGGAGAUCGGAAUUCCUGGUGUAGCGGUGAAAUGCGUAGAUAUCUGGAGGAACACCGGUGGCGAAGGCGGCAUCCUGGACCGAAACUGACGCUGAGGAGCGAAAGCCAGGGGAGCAAACGGG
rnacentral:rRNA from 1 species